rnacentral:tRNA from 1 species
UCCUGGUGGCUCAGAUGGUAAAGUGUCUGCCUGCAAUGCAGGAGACCCGAGUUCGAUCCCUGGAUCAGGAA